rfam:Dickeya dadantii 3937, complete genome.
GGCACUACAGGUGGCUCUGGGCCGAAAGUACUGACGACAGACCAGAAGCGGGAAGCCGUGACAGUGAUGUGCAAAGCGACAGGUCUGUCGCAACGGCGUGACAGGUU